rnacentral:rRNA from 1 species
CCUACGGGAGGCAGCAGUGAGGAAUAUUGGUCAAUGGUCGGGAGACUGAACCAGCCAAGCCGCGUGAGGGAUGAAGGUACAGAGUAUCGUAAACCUCUUUUGUCAGGGAACAAAGGCGGGGACGUGUCCCCGGAUGAGUGUACCUGAAGAAAAAGCAUCGGCUAACUCCGUGCCAGCAGCCGCGGUAAUACGGAGGAUGCGAGCGUUAUCCGGAUUUAUUGGGUUUAAAGGGUGCGCAGGCGGUCUGUUAAGUCAGCGGUAAAACCCCGGGGCUCAACCCCGGCCCGCCGUUGAAACUGGCAGUCUCGAGUUGGAGAGAAGUAUGCGGAAUGCGCGGUGUAGCGGUGAAAUGCAUAGAUAUCGCGCAGAACUCCGAUUGCGAAGGCAGCAUGCCGGCUCCACACUGACGCUGAGGCACGAAAGCGUGGGUAUCGAACAGGAUUAGAUACCCCUGUAGUC